AGUAGCCUAAGCGAGAUUAGCUUGUUGGUGAGGUAAAGGCUCACCAAGGCGACGAUCUCUAGCUGUUCUGAGAGGAAGAUCAGCCACACUGGAACUGAGACACGGUCCAGACUCCUACGGGAGGCAGCAGUGGGGAAUAUUGCACAAUGGGGGAAACCCUGAUGCAGCCAUGCCGCGUGUGUGAAGAAGGCCUUCGGGUUGUAAAGCACUUUCAGUUGUGAGGAAAGGUUGGCGGUUAAUACCCGUUAGCUGUGACGUUAGCAACAGAAGAAGGACCGGCUAACUCCGUGCCAGCAGCCGCGGUAAUACGGAGGGUCCGAGCGUUAAUCGGAAUUACUGGGCGUAAAGCGCACGCAGGCGGUUUGUUAAGCUAGAUGUGAAAGCCCUGGGCUCAACCUGG
rnacentral:rRNA from 1 species